UUCAGUUGACUCAAGUGUUUGGUAGGCGCGCAUGUGUGAUCCGUGUGAUUUGCCAGCUCAUUUAAUGAGCGUCAUCCAACGCUUCUCGUUUUUUGCCAUUUUUAUUUUCUGAUUUCAUUUUCUUUUUUAUUUCUUUAAUUCCAUUUUAUUUCCAAAAAUCACAUCUCCUUCAUUAUUGGUCCAAAAAAUGUGAGACCAAUUGCAUUUUUCUUCUUUUAAUUUCUAGUUUCUAAAAAUGAUUUUUAAUAUUUUUUAUUUUAUCAUUUGAUAUUUUUUAGGAAUUUUCUCUUUUCUGGUUAUUUUUAAUUCAUUUAAAAUAGUUUUUGAUAUUCAAA
rnacentral:lncRNA from 1 species